rnacentral:rRNA from 1 species
GAUGAACGCUGGCGGCGUGCUUAACACAUGCAAGUCGAACGAAGCACCUUGAUUCGAUUCUUCGGAUGAAGAUCUUGGUGACUGAGUGGCGGACGGGUGAGUAACGCGUGGGUAACCUGCCUCAUACAGGGGGAUAACAGUUAGAAAUGACUGCUAAUACCGCAUAAGACCACAGCACCGCAUGGUGCAGGGGUAAAAACUCCGGUGGUAUGAGAUGGACCCGCGUCUGAUUAGGUAGUUGGUGGGGUAACGGCCUACCAAGCCGACGAUCAGUAGCCGACCUGAGAGGGUGACCGGCCACAUUGGGACUGAGACACGGCCCAAACUCCUACGGGAGGCAGCAGUGGGGAAUAUUGCACAAUGGGGGAAACCCUGAUGCAGCGACGCCGCGUGAGCGAUGAAGUAUUUCGGUAUGUAAAGCUCUAUCAGCAGGGAAGAAAAUGACGGUACCUGACUAAGAAACACCGGCUAAAUACGU